UACGUAGGGUGCAAGCGUUAAUCGGAAUUACUGGGCGUAAAGCGUGCGCAGGCGGUUUUGUAAGUCUGUCGUGAAAGCCCCGGGCUCAACCUGGGAAUUGCAUUCAAAACUGGCCAACUAGAAUACGGGAGAGGGGGGUAGAAUUCCGCGUGUAGCAGUGAAAUGCGUAGAUAUGCGGAGGAACACCAAUGGCGAAGGCAAUCCCCUGGGCCUGUACUGACGCUCAUGCACGAAAGCGUGGGGAGCAAACAGG
rnacentral:rRNA from 1 species